UUCCUGCUCAUCAUAAGCAUCUAUAUUCACCCCUUACCGCUCACAUUAUCGCAUCUCCCCACCGCACUCCAUGGCACAAUCAUCCACCUCCCCCCCCCAUUCACCUCAUGUUGUCCAUCCGAUCACCUACGGCCUGUUCCUACCUGUCGGCCGUCCUCGUGGUCGCUCCCUCACCCACCCACUUAAUCCGUAAUGUCCCACCUUCCCAUCCCUACACAGAUUCAAUCCAAUGGUAGACUCCUCGCUCUAUCUCUCUUUGUAUCCCCAUAUAAUCACGUUCACUUUUCAUUCUGCCCUCCCUCCACCCGUGCUCUUUCUUUCUCUUAGAACACACGCACCCGAGCCCUUCCUCUUACGGCCGCGCCACUGGAGCACCUCGUCCUUGAUCCGGCCCGUCGCUUUCUCCCAUGUUUUCUCCUCAUUAGUUAACCUUUCUCCUCCUCAUGCUUCAACUAACAUCAUGUGCGGGCCCGCCGGCUGGGCGUUGGCCCCGUUUCCUCUCCUCCUCUCAACAGUCUACGCCUUGUCGCGCACGUCGCUCUUGCCUCUCUAAUCUCCCCUAUCCACCGUAAAAACAUCCCGCACUCCCUGCGAUUUCCAAUUAUCCUUCUCAGUUCGUUACGCAUGCUGCAACUCGCUUGCAUGAAGCCGGAUUCGUUAGUAACUCGCAGGUCAGNUAANNUGCGGUGAAUACGUUCCCGGNCCUUGUACACACCGCCCGUCAAGUCACCUGAAUUGUGUGCACCCGAAGCCGGUGGCCUAACCGGAAGGAAGGAGCCGUCUAAGGUGUGGGGAGUAAGGGGGACUAAGUCGUAACAAGGUAG
rnacentral:rRNA from 1 species